rnacentral:rRNA from 1 species
GACGAACGCUGGCGGCAUGCCUAACACAUGCAAGUCGAACGGAGAUUAUUUCGGUAAUCUUAGUGGCGAACGGGUGAGUAACGCGUAGGCAACCUGCCCUUUAGUUGGGGACAACAUCCCGAAAGGGGUGCUAAUACCGAAUGUGAUCGCUUUCUCGCAUGAGAGAGCGAUGAAAGAUGGCCUCUAUUUAUAAGCUAUCGCUAAAGGAUGGGCCUGCGUCUGAUUAGCUAGUUGGUGGGGUAACGGCCUACCAAGGCGAUGAUCAGUAGCCGGUCUGAGAGGAUGAACGGCCACAUUGGGACUGAGACACGGCCCAG